CUUUCCUUGAUGACGACUGGCGCACGGGUGAGUAACGCGUAUCCAACCUUCCCAUAACUACGGGAUAACCCGUUGAAAGACGGCCUAAUACCGUAUGACAUCGUUUGCUGACAUCAAAUAACGAUUAAAGGUUUAGCGGUUAUGGAUGGGGAUGCGUCUGAUUAGCUUGUUGGCGGGGUAACGGCCCACCAAGGCUACGAUCAGUAGGGGUUCUGAGAGGAAGGUCCCCCACAUUGGAACUGAGACACGGUCCAAACUCCUACGGGAGGCAGCAGUG
rnacentral:rRNA from 1 species